UACGGGGGGGGGCAAGCGUUGUUCGGAAUUACUGGGCGUAAAGGGCGUGUAGGCGGCCAACUAAGUCCGACGUGAAAUCCCCAGGCUUAACCUGGGAACUGCGUCGGAUACUGGAUGGCUUGAAUCCGGGAGAGGGAUGCAGAAUUCCAGGUGUAGCGGUGAAAUGCGUAGAUAUCUGGAGGAAUACCGGUGGCGAAGGCGGCAUCCUGGACCGGCAUUGACGCUGAGGAGCGAAAGCCAGGGGAGCAAACAGG
rnacentral:rRNA from 1 species